UACGUAGGGUGCAAGCGUUGUCCGGAAUUAUUGGGCGUAAAGAGCUCGUAGGCGGUUUGUCGCGUCUGCUGUGAAAACUCAGGGCUUAACCCUGAGCCUGCAGUGGGUACGGGCAGACUAGAGUGUGGUAGGGGAGAUCGGAAUUCCUGGUGUAGCGGUGGAAUGCGCAGAUAUCAGGAGGAACACCUGUGGCGAAAGCGGCUCACUGGACCGCAACUGACGCUGAGGCGCGAAAGCUAGGGGAGCAAACAGG
rnacentral:rRNA from 1 species